UGGGAACUCCCAAUUCUUGAAUCUUAUUAACAUCCAUGACUGGUAAAAAAUCAUUUAGCUUUAAAAGUAAGUCACGGGUGUUCAAAUACCCUUUUAGUAAGAUACUUUCAUCAAUCAUAGUAAUACUUUCUACCUUCAUGCUUACACUUUAGGUCAUCCUGACACCUGUCUUGAAGUUUGACAGAAUGAAUAGUAGGGAAACAGAAACACCCCUAUUUUUAAUACUAGAUUGUAUUUAGCUGUAAUUUAAAACUGAAGCACAGUGACUUGCCUCUUGCAGCUUUCCACUGGACCCGUCAAUAGUCUUGUUAGGAAAGUUUGUCUUGUAUUAACUUUAAGCUAUGCAUUACUUGAGACUUUUGAGCAUAAAUUUGUUUCUUCACUGUUGAGCCAUGUUCUAUAAGGAAUCGGGAGGCUGCAUGAUACUGCAAGGUGCUUUAUUUUAGCUAAAAAAUUUUUUAAGUUCUGUAUCUAAGCUUUUUAAAGUAUCAUAAAGGACUAUUUAAAGUUCCUACAUUAAGCAUUUGCAGAAAACCAAACUUGAAUUUCCAUCUGAGAAUCAUCACAACCUUUUCCAGCGUGGGGGACAGAUUCACGCUGAUCUGCGGGUUCACUGGGGCUGAGCACAAGGCUUCAUGUUUAUGACGUUAAGACACAUCCUCAUGAGGCUGUAGGAAGCGGAACCUGAGCUGCAGCUUCCUACACUCCUGCUCUUCAUCCUGUCUUCCCUUCUUUGCAGCAUCGUCUCUAAGGCUAGAUAGGCCAGGUUUGGGUUUGUCAUGUAGUAGAGACUCAUCUAAUGUUUGGAAAGGCUUUCUAACCUGUAAAAUGUCUCUUAAAAAUAAUGUAUUGACACAUAGUUCAGUGCUGAAUCAAUGGCCUUGUUCAUUUCCUCAUCAUCUGUUUUGUAUAAGUUGCACAGGGCUACACUUGUGCCCCAUGUCAUCCUUCUUUGCGUUCCAGGUUCCACCUGUGCCCCACUCUCAAGGUUUCCUGUUGGAAUUCCUGUGGGAAGAUCUGGACCAGCUUAUCCAGGCUGUAUCCUGGGUCACGGACCAGGCUCUGCAUCACCAGGUGUCCCCUUGCAGAGGGAAGGCAGAGGCCCAGCCCUGGGCAGUCUGCUGUAGAGCUGGGUUAGAGAGAUCAGGUGUGCUCGCCACCCUCCCUGCCAACAGUGGUGGGACAGAGUAAUGGCCCCAGCACUCGAAUGCUCCUCCUUUGUCAUCCUUCGAUGAAGAGGAAAGAAGGCUGAGCAGAAGGCUGUUCGUACCUCUGGUAAGAGUCCUAUUGGGAAGGGUUUUUCUCUCCCCGAGUUAUGGCUAUUCUAGCCGGGGAGAGAGCAGUUAGGAGGAACUGGCCUGCCCUCAAACAGCCACAGGGGUUUGCGAUGGAAUGGGAGGCACCCUUUGGCUCAUCAUUUACCUUCCUGAGAAGAUCUGAGUUACACUUGUGUUAUACUUUAAGCUUACGGAAGGACCUCUCUGUGACCUUUAGAAGAGGCUGUAGAAUCUACCAGAGGAGAUAAGUUUUGAGAAGCUCCUGCUAGAGGAACAUUAAGGUUUCCAGGUCAUACUGCCUUAAAGUUUAAACUUUUAUCUGCUAGUUCUAACCCAGAGAGCACUUCUAUUUCUGGAGAAGUUAUCAGAGGAUGGUUUUUCCAAGCCCUUUCCAGCAGUUGUCACCUGUGUUUUCUUCUUCCACCACUGAGAGGAAGACUCCUGGGAAUUCUCAGCACAGCGAGAGGACAGGAUUCCCUUUGUUGCACCUUAAUCCCUCUAAUGAGACUUAAAAGGAGACUGCUGGAUACUAAAUUCAGGCAUUUACCAAAUAGUGUUGCUUUCUACUAGCCAGAGAGCCCUAACAAACCAACAGCUGAACUAGGAUUCUUCUGCAGAAGGGCCUGUGACUGGAAAGACAAGCCGAGCUGAAGACGAAGACCUACCGCCCUCCCCGGGUCCAUGCACCUUUUCCAGGUGCCAGGGACCCGUUGUCCUAGGAGAACCAGUGACCUCGUGUAAAAUGAUAUCUUUAAAAGAUGUCAAUCACACUGUGGAAUCAAAGAAACUAAAGGGUGAGUCCUGAUUCGAGCCUCACUGAGCGUCCUGCCCGCCCUUGGGAGGAAGAUGAAGGAGAGGAGGUGACUUUAAGGAAUAUAUUUCCACUUGAAAAAUGCAGAAAGCAAAUUAUUCUAAAGAAUCUGCAUGUAUAAUAUAAAAAAAGAAUUCCGCCUAUUGUAAAGAAGAAGAAAGCACUUAUGGCCCAAGGAAAGUAAGUUUGCUUUAUU